UGAGAUUUCACCAUGUUGCUCAAGGGGCACCCACUAGAAGCCACACGUGUUCCUGAGGACACAGCAACAAAGAAAGAGCAAAGCCCCUGCCCUCAGUGCACUUACAGUCUGGAAGCAAUUAAACAUUCCUCUGGCAGCAAUAUUUCUGGAGCAUUCUUAUCUAGGUAUUUUGGUAACAUAUCAAAAAAAUUGAAGAAAUGUCUUCAAAUGGGCACACCAAGAUUUUAAACCAUGGAAUUAGAUUGUAUACUCUAAAUUCAUGCUUGGACUCAUGAACAUACACAUGGAUUCAAUCAAAGAGAAUCAAGUUUUUGAUUCAUU
rnacentral:lncRNA from 10 species